UUGCUUCAGUGUUAAGCUUAUUUAAGGUUUUUAGGUUCUAACUCACUCUGAAACAAACAGAAAUGCCAACGCUGGGUCUUCAUCCUGUGGAGUGAACAAUGGCUUUCAAACAUUUUUUACCAUAAUCCACAGUAGGUCUAUUUUGCAUUAUGACUUAGUACGUACCUAUGUAUGUAAUUAUGAGCUUACAUACUUAUAGAAAAAUAGUAUUUUUGCCAUUGUUUUGGAAAUAGACGACAUCUAUUUCCAAAUCUGUUUCAUUAGUUUUCAUUAAAAAUGCACCGUGGGGUGCCUGGGUGGCUCAGUCGGUUGAGCGUCCGACUUCGGCUCAGGUCACGAUCUCGCGGUUUGUGAGUUCGAGCCCCGCGUCAGGCUCUGGGCUGAUGGCUCAGAGCCUGGAGCCUGCUUCCGAUUCUGUGUCUCCCUCUCUCUCUGCCCCUCCCCCAUUCAUGCUCUGUCUCUCUCUGUCUCAAAAAUAAAUAAACAUCAAAAAAAAAAUU